rnacentral:lncRNA from 1 species
AGAGCAGAGCAGAGCAGAGCAGAGAAGAGAAGAGAAGAGAAGAGAAGAGAAGAGAAGAGAAGAGAAGAGAAGAGAAGAGAAGAGAAGAGAAGAGAAGAGAAGAGAAGAGAAGAGAAGAGAAGAGAACUCACUGGUGAUAUUGAGAUCUUCUAUCCUUCAAAGGGAUGAGACUACAUCCUCUGGCAAAUCCUGCAUGAUAUUCUAGCUGCCAGAAGAUCAGGUUUGCAACAGCUCCUCUUCAGUUCUGGAGAACAUAGUUGAAGCAGUGUUGCUUUUGCCUGAUGGUGGACCAUGUACUGAAAGACAAAGAUCAUGUGUCUGUGACAUUGAAACUAGAUGAUCAUUAUUGUCCUUUUCAACUCAGGCCAUUCUAUGAUUCUGUGACAUCCUAAAAACAUGAUAUUCUGUGACUCUAGAAGUCCCAACUCCUCAUUUUCUGUUGAUGCCACCUGCAAGGACAUGCUAGAAAUGAGGAGAAGUGGUGAGCCCAUGGAAAUCUCUGAUGUUCACAUGUGAAGUAUCUCUUCACCAGACUACAGGGGACUGAGGAAGACAAGGUGGAAGACAGCAAAAUUCACGCAUGUGUUGCUCAAGUUUUGGGGUAUGUCAACUAUCUGGAGCCAUUUAGAUGACAGUGGGAGGGAUUUUGGAUACUGCCAUCUCUGUUCUACUGCCGGGAAUCCUGCUGCCCAGGUGGAGGAGCUGAGGUUUGAUAUUUCCUUAAGUACAAUAGCUAAACAAAUGGUAAGGUGAAGAGAGGCUGUUGUUUCACCAGCUGAUUUAUCAGGCAUUGUUUUUUUGGCAGCAGAGGGCUGCUUCUGGCUGCUCUGACCAUGACUCAUGGGGAUGGGUUGCAGUUGAUGCACAAGAGGAUUUUGGUACUGUACUUGUUGAGGUCAGGAAACUACUUGGACAAUUUUUAGCCAUUCAGAUCUGGAGAUGAGAGUGUGUUGACACAUGGGGGAUAAAGUAAAAAUUGAGGGAAGCCAUAAGGGCGUUUGCCAGACAUGACUUCUGUGAUUCUCCCAGGACAGGAGCUUGCAAAUGUACUUACCACCUAUCUAAUGCUGGCUUUUGCUCCUCAGUUGCUGCUCACAGCAUGGGAAUGUGCAUGGCCAGUAUUGACCUUCAUCCCAUUUUUUCAUGGAUGUAAUGAGGAAGUCUGUGAGUGUGCACUGUGGCUGCACUGAUAUCUUAUAGCUCAGCAGCAUCUGAGAGUUGCUGGGAUUUCUCAGAGAAGUUAGAAGCAUUGCAUGGAGGAUGCCCCCAGUUUGGGUAAUGGCCAUUCCAGCAGGAACAGUGUAUCUAUAUGAUGAGAUGACACAAUAUUGAUGUGAUAAGAGUUGGAAAAGGGCCAGGGUUGCAGACUGGACACCUUCUAUCCAAAAAUAUACCAGGAAAUGGCUGCUCUUCAGAUCACUUCAGGACAUGGACAGAGUUGUGGUACUUAUAGUUAUUCUGGAAGACGAUAAGAUUUUCAUUGUUUUCUAUGUAUCUUUAAACAGAAAGUUUAGAGGAGUAUGUCAGUCUCGCCUGUUUCUGGAAGACAAAGAGAUAAGAAGGAAUGCCUUGUGCUAAUUAUGGCUGUUUCCCAUCUGUUUCCUUUUGAAAUAAUAGCUUCAUGGAGAAGGCUAUGUAGUAUCAGGGGAGAUUCUCGAGAACAGCUUGGAGCAGACACAUUGUGGACGGGUGUAAAUAUGCCCCACAUGAUGACAGGAAGGUCAGGAGUGCACUGUGCCUCUGCUUUGAAAUGUGCUGAAAUAAAAAAAAAAAGAACAAGUAGUCUUGGAGGAUAUAAAAUAUCCCUGCAGGGGGAAAAUAUGGGGUUGGACCGAGUGACCUCCAGAAGUCCCUUCCAACCUCAACCAUUCAGUGAGUCUGUAGUUUUAUAAGUGUUAGACAGCACUCUGGUGGCGUAUUUUUCCAUCUCACUUGCAUAAAUUCAUGUACCGGAAUUAAUAAAAAAAGCCGUGAAAUAAAUGCACUUAGUCUUUAGAAAUAAA